GGGCCAUAGCUGAGGGGUAAGAGCACCUGCUUUGUAUGCAGGCCCCAGGUUUGAUCCCUGGCAUCUCCA